rnacentral:rRNA from 1 species
UACAGAGGUCUCAAGCGUUGUUCGGAUUCAUUGGGCGUAAAGAGCGCGCAGGCGGUCGUUCAAGUCGAGUGUGAAAGCCCCCGGCUCAACUGGGGAGGGUCACUCGAUACUGAUCGACUCGAAGGCAGGAGAGGGAAGUGGAAUUCCCGGUGUAGUGGUGAAAUGCGUAGAUAUCGGGAGGAACACCAGUGGCGAAGGCGACUUCCUGGCCUGUUCUUGACGCUGAGGCGCGAAAGCUAGGGGAGCAAACGGG